rnacentral:rRNA from 1 species
CAUGCAAGUCGAACGGGAAACCUUUUAUUGAAGCUUCGGCAGAUUUAGAUUGUUUCUAGUGGCGGACGGGUGAGUAACGCGUGGGUAACCUGCCUUAUACAGGGGGAUAACAGUCAGAAAUGACUGCUAAUACCGCAUAAGCGCACAGGACCGCAUGGUCCGGUGUGAAAAACUCCGGUGGUAUAAGAUGGACCCGCGUUGGAUUAGCUAGUUGGUGAGGUAACGGCCCACCAAGGCAACGAUCCAUAGCCGGCCUGAGAGGGUGAACGGCCACAUUGGGACUGAGACACGGCCCAGACUCCUACGGGAGGCAGCAGUGGGGAAUAUUGCACAAUGGGGGAAACCCUGAUGCAGCGACGCCGCGUGAAGGAAGAAGUAUCUCGGUAUGUAAACUUCUAUCAGCAGGGAAGAAAAUGACGGUACCUGACUAAGAAGCCCCGGCUAACUACGUGCCAGCAGCCGCGGUAAUACGUAGGGGGCAAGCGUUAUCCGGAUUUACUGGGUGUAAAGGGAGCGUAGACGGAUGGACAAGUCUGAUGUGAAAGGCUGGGGCUCAACCCCGGGACUGCAUUGGAAACUGCCCGUCUUGAGUGCCGGAGAGGUAAGCGGAAUUCCUAGUGUAGCGGUGAAAUGCGUAGAUAUUAGGAGGAACACCAGUGGCGAAGGCGGCUUACUGGACGGUAACUGACGUUGA